UUUCAAAGAAGUUUUUUCUUUUUAUAUCUUUUUUCUUUUAUUUUUGUUAGAAAAUUGCAUCAAGGAUCAACAAGUCAUAAGUAUUAUUUUCUUCAUUAUGGCUGCAUAUUUAUGUGUGCCGUUAAUUUGUUAUCUUGUAAUCUUGUUUUAUAAUUUGUUGUGGCUGCAUUAUAAUAUGUUUUAAUCCAUAUAAUAUCUAGCUGCAUAUAAAUUUGUAUAAUAUAUUUUAUAAUUUGUUGUGCCUGCACACAAAAUUGGCUUCGUGCUUCUCCAAUGACAACUGAUUUUGAGGAGCUUAUUGAAGAGUUUGAAAAACUUGAAUUAGAAAUUGCACCAACCGGAGAAGAUGAUGAUGAGUCUGGUGUGGAUUCAUAUUAAGCAUGGUGGCUGUUUGGCUUUCAUUUAUUUUAAAGUGAUUGUUUCGGUUUAAAGUGUGUUUAUUUUUGUUGUUUUACUAGACAUUUUUAAUUGUAUUUGUUUUAUGUUUAAUUAAGUUGAAUUUGUAUUGAAUUGGGAUGUAAUAUACUCUUGUUAUUCUAGUUUAUUGACGGUUUUAAAGUUCA